UACGUAGGGGGCGAGCGUUGUCCGGAUUUAUUGGGCGUAAAGCGCGCGUAGGCGGUUUGUCGCGUCGGCCGUGAAAUCUCCACGCUUAACGUGGAGCGUGCGGUCGAUACGGGCAGACUUGAGUUCGGUAGGGGAGACUGGAAUCCUGGUGUAGCGGUGGAAUGCGCAGAUAUCAGGAGGAACACCGGUGGCGAAGGCGGGUCUCUGGGCAGUGAACUG
rnacentral:rRNA from 1 species